AAUAAGUUUAGUUUUACCCUAUUCGUAUUCAACUUUUAACCGUUCGUCUUAUUUAAAAAUUUUUUAUGAUUAGUAUUUUUAUUGCUAUUAGAUGAUAAAAUAUAAAUAGUAUUUUAUGUGUGACUAAAUAUUUUUAAUUUUUUCACAAAUUUUUUAAAUAAAACGGACGGUCAAACGUUGGGCACGGAUAUCCACGGCUGCACUUAUU
rfam:Oryza glaberrima chromosome 1 Oglab01_0187_1, whole genome shotgun sequence.